rnacentral:rRNA from 1 species
CUGCAACUUAACGCCCGGUUAAGACUCGGUUUCCCUCCGGCUCCCCUAUACGGUUAACCUUGCUACAGAAUAUAAGUCGCUGACCCAUUAUACAAAAGGUACGCAGUCACACAGGUAAACCUGUGCUCCCACUGCUUGUACGUACACGGUUUCAGGUUCUUUUUCACUCCCCUCGCCGGGGUUCUUUUCGCCUUUCCCUCACGGUACUGGUUCACUAUCGGUCAGUCAGGAGUAUUUAGCCUUGGAGGAUGGUCCCCCCAUAUUCAGACAGGAUACCACGUGUCCCGCCCUACUCAUCGAGCUCACAGCACAUGCGCUUUUGUGUACGGGGCUGUCACCCUGUAUCGCGCGCCUUUCCAGACGCUUCCACUAACACACAUGCUGAUUCAGGCUCUGGGCUCCUCCCCGUUCGCUCGCCGCUACUGGGGGAAUCUCGGUUGAUUUCUUUUCCUCGGGGUACUUAGAUGUUUCAGUUCCCCCGGUUCGCCUCAUUAACCUAUGGAUUCAGUUAAUGAUAGUGUGACGAAUCACACUGGGUUUCCCCAUUCGGAAAUCGCCGGUUAUAACGGUUCAUAUCACCUUACCGGCGCUUAUCGCAGAUUAGCACGUCCUUCAUCGCCUCUGACUGCCAGGGCAUCCACCGUGUACGCUUAGUCGCUUAACCUCACAACCCGAAGAUGUUUCUUACGAUUCAUCAUCGUGUUGCGAAAAUUUGAGAAACUCACGAACAACUUUCGUUGUUCUGUGUUUCAAUUUUCAGCUUGAUCCAGAUUUUUAAAGAGCAAA